rnacentral:rRNA from 1 species
GAUGAACGCUGGCGGCGUGCUUAACACAUGCAAGUCGAACGGGGAACAUUUUAUUGAAGCUUCGGCAGAUCUGAUUUGUUCCUAGUGGCGGACGGGUGAGUAACGCGUGGGUAACCUGCCUUAUACAGGGGGAUAACAGUCAGAAAUGACUGCUAAUACCGCAUAAGCGCACAGAGGCGCAUGCCUCGGUGUGAAAAACUCCGGUGGUAUAAGAUGGACCCGCGUUGGAUUAGCUUGUUGGCGGGGCAACGGCCCACCAAGGCGACGAUCCAUAGCCGGCCUGAGAGGGUGAACGGCCACAUUGGGACUGAGACACGGCCCAGACUCCUACGGGAGGCAGCAGUGGGGAAUAUUGCACAAUGGGGGAAACCCUGAUGCAGCGACGCCGCGUGAAGGAAGAAGUAUC